GGACUGCAGCUCAAUGGUAGAGCUCUUGCCUAGCAUGUGGGAGGCACUGGGUUCGAUCCUCAGCACCA
rnacentral:tRNA from 1 species